CUUACAUGUAUUCUCAGAAUUUUGAAUGUUUUCUUAAGUGCUUUCACUUCCUGAAUACUAAAAAAAAAAAAAUUUAAAGGAGAGAGCAACUUACUAAUAAAAAAAAAAGCAAUGCACCAUGACAAGUAGACUAUUUUGAGCGAUCAUGAAACAGGUUGGUUUUGUCAGUAACUUGAAUGUUUAUGCCUCAUUGAAACUUCAUCCAUGGCUAUAGCAACUUAAAUAGAUUUUCCAAUACAUUUCCAGCCAGUUUAUUCAAAUCCUUGUUCUUCAGUUUUGCCUUCUUUCCCUGUGCUGUCACCUAUGGCAGUUUCAUUUAGAAAUAUUUUGGAAGCUCGCCUGGUUUUACAGACCUUUAAAUAUUUGUCUGGUAUGUGAAAUGCAGGAAGAGACCGAAGAGGGAAAGAACAUAACUGAAAUUAGACAUCUGAAAAAAAUAAUACAAAUUUGAAACAGGCACGUUUUUAAAAAGUAAAAGAAAGGAGCACUAAUUAUGUGAGUGGGAAGAGAAAAAAGCACGUGAUGCAGAGGUGGGAGGUCUGCCCUGCUUUCCUGGGAUGCAGCACGGUCUUUGAGUCUGGGCAACCACACACUUACUGGUCGGCAUGCAAGAGAAGGAUGUGGACUUCUUAGCAGGGAGCAGGGCACUCAAUUUUCUUAGCUUCUACCUCCCACAUGCCUGGGUUAGUCUAACUUCUGGCAAAUUGAUCUUGGGCAAGAAAAAGCUUUACUGAGAGGUAGCAUCUGUCAGCCUUGGUUGAGUAGCCACCUCAAGGCUGACUUACAGAGUGGGUAGGUUUAUUAUACCUCAAAUGAGGAUAAAACUCCAUAAUAAAGGACCCAAAGCAAACACUUUCAAGAGCUUGAUGAUUUUUUAUCACCUAAAAUGUAGUUAGCUUUAUUUAGCAAAACCCCAGUAGAAUCCACCAUGCAUCUUUUUCCCCAGUAUCCUUUCUUUGGAGUCACAGCGUUUUGUGAGCCACAUAUAAAUAUCUCACUUUCUGUUGCAGUGUGCUUGCAGGUGGUAUCAUGGUGGGAAGCGUUCGAAGUGGGGAAUUCUGGAAUGGAAAUUUGGAGUCAAGUCAUUCUAGGCUGCUAUGGAGAAUGCUAAAGAGAAUACUGUUGUUAUAAAAGAUAAACACCUAAUUUUGUAUGGAGUUUUGCUAUUGAAUUUUCAAUUCUGUUAUAAACAAAGCUGGCUUUAUCUGUGGAGAGUGUGUGCUCCAGAGGUGAUUCACCACGUUGUUCAUUUUAUGGUUUCUGGACACUAGGGUUAGAAUAAGGACAAUAGGACUUCGUCCAAACUGGAGAAACGGAGUUGUAUUUUCUUUGAAACCAUAAGUAUAGAUAAACUCCAGAUUGGCCUUUUGGAUCGAUUUUAUAUUUUUGGUAGUUGGGAACCAAGUCUGAAUAUUCAAAUAAAUAAACACCCUCAGAUGUAAAGCCACACUCCUUGUUUUAUAGGCAAUGUCAAAAAUGGGAAGUUACUUUCUUUAUGGUGUGCCAUUGAUUUUGAAACAUUUUUAUAUUACCUACUCUGCCCUUAUAACUUUUUUUUUCAGGUAUCAUUGCCACUUACCUUAUUUUCAAAAUAAAUUAGAAUUCUAGAUUAAAAUAUUGUUUUGAGUGCCCUCUGGGAAGAUUUGUUUUUCAUAUUGCCUGUUUCCAUAGCAAAAAAAAAAAAAAGUUCAGAACUGUGCAUGGUACUCAAAAGUCUAAGAAUAUGAUGUAAGUAGCAAUAUAAUCACCACAACUAAAUUUCUUUUUAACUGUGUUGCAAAAUAGAUUUUUUUAUCUAAAAUCACUCCUCACUUCCAACAUUUCUUUGUGAGUUUUAAUAUAGCAAACCCUCGCGUAUCACGCACCACAUCAACAAGUUUUUCUUCCCUUGGAUUAUUAAUUUUUGCUUCUUUGCACUACAUUUGUCUUGUGCCGAAAUGACAAAAGCAGGCAGCAACAAAGAUCCGGGUACUAGCCAUAUGUAGAAAGUUCUGGUGUGCAUUUCUGUGUCCUUUUUCCUCACAUAUUAGAAUUGUCAGGAACGGUUUUUUCCUUUGGAACUUCAUGUUGACAUCUUGCAUGAUCUUAUAAAUUAAGCUGAAGAGAAACUGGAUACCUUUUAUGGUUAUUUGAAAAUAAAAUUUGCUACAAAUAA
ensembl:lncRNA